rnacentral:rRNA from 1 species
AGCGAACGGACGAGAAGCUUGCUUCUCUGAUGUUAGCGGCGGACGGGUGAGUAACACGUGGAUAACCUACCUAUAAGACUGGGAUAACUUCGGGAAACCGGAGCUAAUACCGGAUAGUAUUUUGAACCGCAUGGUUCAAAAGUGAAAGACGGUCUUGCUGUCACUUAUAGAUGGAUCCGCGCUGCAUUAGCUAGUUGGUAAGGUAACGGCUUACCAAGGCAACGAUGCAUAGCCGACCUGAGAGGGUGAUCGGCCACACUGGAACUGAGACACGGUCCAGACUCCUACGGGAGGCAGCAGUAGGGAAUCUUCCGCAAUGGGCGAAAGCCUGACGGAGCAACGCCGCGUGAGUGAUGAAGGUCUUCGGAUCGUAAAACUCUGUUAUUAGGGAAGAACAUAUGUGUAAGUAACUGUGCACAUCUUGACGGUACCUAAUCAGAAAGCCACGGCUAACUACGUGCCAGCAGCCGCGGUAAUACGUAGGUGGCAAGCGUUAUCCGGAAUUAUUGGGCGUAAAGCGCGCGUAGGCGGUUUUUUAAGUCUGAUGUGAAAGCCCACGGCUCAACCGUGGAGGGUCAUUGGAAACUGGAAAACUUGAGUGCAGAAGAGGAAAGUGGAAUUCCAUGUGUAGCGGUGAAAUGCGCAGAGAUAUGGAGGAACACCAGUGGCGAAGGCGACUUUCUGGUCUGUAACUGACGCUGAUGUGCGAAAGCGUGGGGAUCAAACAGGAUUAGAUACCCUGGUAGUCCACGCCGUAAACGAUGAGUGCUAAGUGUUAGGGGGUUUCCGCCCCUUAGUGCUGCAGCUA